AUUGAACGCUGGCGGCAUGCUUUACACAUGCAAGUCGAACGGCAGCGCGGGCUUCGGCCUGGCGGCGAGUGGCGAACGGGUGAGUAAUACAUCGGAACGUGCCCAGUAGUGGGGGAUAGCUCGGCGAAAGCCGGAUUAAUACCGCAUACGACCUGAGGGUGAAAGCGGGGGAUCUUCGGACCUCGCGCUAUUGGAGCGGCCGAUGGCAGAUUAGCUAGUUGGUGGGGUAAAGGGCUACCAAGGCGACGAUCUGUAGCUGGUCUGAGAGGACGACCAGCCACACUGGGACUGAGACACGGCCCAGACUCCUACGGGAGGCAGCAGUGGGGAAUUUUGGACAAUGGGCGAAAGCCUGAUCCAGCAAUGCCGCGUGUGUGAUGAAGGCCUUCGGGUUGUAAAGCACUUUUGGCGGGAACGAAAAGGACUGUGCCAAUACCACGGUUCGAUGACGGUACCCGCAGAAUAAGCACCGGCUAACUACGUG
rnacentral:rRNA from 1 species